rnacentral:rRNA from 1 species
GAUGAACGCUGGCGGCGUGCCUAAUACAUGCAAGUCGAGCGAACAGAUAAGGAGCUUGCUCCUUUGACGUUAGCGGCGGACGGGUGAGUAACACGUGGGUAACCUACCUAUAAGACUGGAAUAACUCCGGGAAACCGGGGCUAAUGCCGGAUAACAUUUAGAACCGCAUGGUUCUAAAGUGAAAGAUGGUUUUGCUAUCACUUAUAGAUGGACCCGCGCCGUAUUAGCUAGUUGGUAAGGUAACGGCUUACCAAGGCAACGAUACGUAGCCGACCUGAGAGGGUGAUCGGCCACACUGGAACUGAGACACGGUCCAGACUCCUACGGGAGGCAGCAGUAGGGAAUCUUCCGCAAUGGGCGAAAGCCUGACGGAGCAACGCCGCGUGAGUGAUGAAGGUCUUCGGAUCGUAAAACCCUGUUAUUAGGGAAGAACAAAUGUGUAAGUAACUGUGCACGUCGUGACGGUACCUAAUCAGAAAGCCACGGCUAACUACG